GUUUCUUUCCACUCACCAGAUGUUCCCAACACUUUGCUUCCCACUACUAUCAUCCCCUCCCUUACCACUGCAACAGUCACAACCACUGUAACCAUAACAACCUGCCCAACCACAUCCGCAACAACCAGCAACAUCAGAGAUCCCAAUGCUCUGGCUGGCCAGACUGGCCCUGAUCAUGCUCUAAUAGGAGGAAUUGUGGCUGUAGUUGUAUUUGUCACUCUAUGUUCUAUAUUUUUGCUUGGACGAUAUCUGGCAAGACAUAAAGGAACAUAUUUAACAAAUGAAGCUAAAGGAGCGGAAGAUGCCCCAGAUGCUGACACAGCCAUUAUCAAUGCUGAGGGCAGCCAAGUCAAUGCUGAAGAAAAAAAAGAAUAUUUCAUUUAAAAUGCAGGCCAAGAUUCUGAAUUUUAUGUACCAGGCUGGCUGCUGGAGAAAACUGGCUAUCAUCUUUCAGAAUUCAUUUCUACCAUCUUCUGCUACCUUUAUUAACUUCCAUAUUGUACUGCUGUCUGUAGCCAGUGUAUGCCAACAAUCAGCUGUCGAAAGCAUCAUUCUUUAAUUACUGUACCAUCCAUAAUGCAGGACAUUUAUUACCGCCUAAAUUCCACACCAUGCUCUUUUAACAUACAGUGCUUGAAUAUACAGCCUUAACAAUGUUAAUCAUCUCCUUGGAUCAUGAUAUUGAAUUGUUUUUGUACAUUGAAAAAAAAAAAGUAUGCGGAGCUUCCCCCACCCCCUCAUUUUUGGCUCCCUUUAAAUCAAAGUUCUUGUAAACCUACCACUGGACAGCUUUCACAAGGAACAGGAUUAGGUAAAGACAUAACAUGCUUAAGUUCAAUUCAGAUGUGAGAGGUUUAUGAUGUUUUCUACAUGUCUAUCUUCAAAGACAUGUUUUGGAAGCAUAUGCCCUAAAAAACACAAACUGAAAUAAACUACUGUAGAAUAGAUUCUGGAAUAUUUGAGAUUAUACUGAUAAAGCUGUAUCAAUUUGCUAUUUAAAAAUAUAGUAUUUGAUACAGGAGCCAUGAAUAUGGAUUACAGUCAUGACAUGCUGUCUUAUAUAAUUAUAUAGAUCCUACCAUUUAGCUUCAUCUACCAAUAAAUUGUUACAAAUAUUUUACCAUUUUGGGAAUCACAAAGACUUCAUUCAUUUCUCUAAUUUGAUUCUGUAAUUUAUUUGCUCCAUAAAGACUCACCUGCCUAAACAAAAUUGAAAUAUCCAUAGGGCACAAUUUUGAAACAUUUUAGUAUCUGUAUAUAGUGCAUAUAAUAAAUCCAAUUAAACAUUAUUUGAUACAUAUUUAACUUUUUUGGCUGUAGGUAAUCAGUCAUGAGUAAGCAUUUUCUAAUGUCCAUUAUAUCCCUUUAGAUAUUACUUAAACCAAUAUUAUAAGUAGAUAACAUGUAUUAGUAUUUUUGUCUGUAUGUCCUAGCACUGUUCAACAACAAAUUUUUCUAGUUCUUGUUAAUUUUUGUUAUACAAUGGAAGCACAAUGUUAUAAGGAAAGGUAAUUUUAAGCUAACAACCAGUGCACAGCCUCAGGUUUUAAAUUACAACCACAGUUGAAUAAUAAUCUAAAAUAAACUCUUAGUUUGCUAAAAAUUUACAAAUUUUAAUUUGGCAGUUCCAGAGCUGCUUACCUAUGUUGGUUUGCCAAAAAGAAGUGUUUGAGAUAUGUUUUCUGUAUAAAUGAACUAAUUCUUUAUAUUAAAUUCCUGUCUAUGCAUUUUGUGAGGUAUAAACAUAUGAAACAGUGAGUGAUAGAGAAUUUCUGCCAUAAUUUUAACUCCAAGGUGAAAGUCUCUUUCUCUGGAUUAUUUCUGAAAUUUUGAUGUAUUUAACCAUUAAGAAAUGCUGUAUUCUUAAAUAUGACACAGAGUCAAUCUGAAGUCAUAUUAUUUCUCCUAGUAAAAGACAAUAAUGCUAGAUUAGUUGUCAUUAGAUCUAUUGAUACUCUAUGCUAAAGAUUAAAAAUCCAGUUAGAUAAAAAUUAUUUUCCCAUUGACAAGAAUUGCACCUUUAGGAAGAAAAAGAAUAUGACAAUAUGGUAGCUAUACUUGUGAUGUCUGAAAGCAUGAUGGCCUAUGGUUUUAAGAAUAAUAUCUUGGAAUUUAUUUUUGGGAAAUGAGAAUGGUUGAGUAUGACAUCAUGUAUUAAUAUCAAAUGAAAGACAAGGGUGCUGUAUCUUAGAUUAUUUAUCAGAAAAGUAUAAAUCUUUUAAGGACAACGUUAGACUUUUAAUUUUUUUGUUUGUUGAAGCAUUUAUCUUGUUGAUUUCUUACAAAAGAAAAAGGACGAUGUCAGUCAAGCAGCACUUUUUCAGAAUAUACAGAACAUAAAUAAUAUGAUGUGGUUGAGUGUUAACAUAAUAAAUCAUAUACAGUAUGACAAUUUUAAGGAAAUAAGUCUGCAUUGAUGUGAUUGCAUGCUUGUUUUUACAGUUCACUCCAUACCAUCUGUGGAAAAAAUGCAAUAAUAUGUUAAUAUAGUAUGGUAGUUUGAGAGAAUCCGGUAGGUGCUACUAGACACAUUGAAACUAGAAUAGGUUUAUAAACUGUUCAUAUCUUUCAAUGCAUAAUCUUUAGAAAGACUCCACAAAGCAAAAUUCAUUCUGUUAGUACAAAAUGGAAAGGUUCUUAUUACAGGAGUAAGUUGUAUAAACUGCAUCAUCAAUUACUAUUUAAAGCCUAAUUUCAGGAUGCAUUUACAAAAUUGCUACUCUCCAUCGAUGCUGUAUUUACAUCCCUCUUCAUUUCAUCUGUAUUCUACUUGGCUCCAACUGCUAAACUGUUGCCUAAAUAACUCAAUCAUUAUUUAUAGCACUAUAAAAUUAGAAAUCCAAAAUUGGUUACAAUUCAAGACUUUUGACUCUUUUAACCCUUGACAGUAAUAUAAAAACUCAUUGGAAGCCUGUAAAAGAAACUAACUGGUGUAUUAUGAUUUGUGAGCUCUAAUCAAAUAUUUUGACAGCUAAAAUAGAUAUGAAUUAGAUAUCAUUUCAGUUACUGAAAGUAAAUAGCAAUGGAGUUAUAUUUUCCUAUCUUAAACAAAUUUAUUUGAUUUCCACCAAUGAAAGAAAUUGUAAAAAUUCUGUUCAUUUCUAUAAAAAUCAGAAAAAAUGAAAUAAAUAUAUAAAUGAACCAUUUCAAUUGCCAUGACUGAAAUGUGCACAUUUUAUGCCCAGAGAGCCAAAUUCGGUCAUUGCUUAGUGGGCACCAUAGCCACAGAACAUAAUGAAAGCAGUGCGCACAGACACACCCCCCAGUAGAAUAUGGAACAUUAUUCUUUACCCAAAGUAGCUAUUCUCUGCCAGCGUACUGUUUACAGUGUAAAUUGUCCUCCAUCAAAAAAGUGUAAACAGCAUUCUUUUUUUUUUUUUUGGUUUCCAUAUUUGAAUGUCCUAGAUAAAACAAUUAUCAAAAUUAGGGAGAAAAGGAAAGUUUGUGAGUGAAAGAGCAAAGAUAGACAGCAUGAACAUAGUCGUGUGUGUGUGUGUGUGUGUGUGUGUGUGUGAGUGUGUAUGAGAGAGAGAAAGAGAUUUCAACUUGUUUUCUUUUACCAGAGAAUCCAAGAAGCAGUUUAAGGAACCUGAUAUUGAAGUUUAAUCUAGAAACUGGAUGAUCUCAUGUUGAUACAAGAUGUUUAAUCUUGCAUUGAAACCCCACAAUUAAAGAAACAAAUAGAGAAAGAAAACUAACUUUCCUAAAUAUGGCAAAGAAGCUAACACCUCAUUUAUUUUUAUUUCUUUGUAAAAAUAUAAAUAUCUCAAUUAAAAGGACAGGCUCACUUGUAAUUAUGUACUCAUGAUUGUAAUGACAUUGAGAUUCCAUAUAGGCCCAUGUACAGCAGCUGUUUGGUGGUGAUGGUUCUUCCAUGUAACAUAGCAGUUAUCGUGUAAUUUAGUGCCACUUAUUGCAAAGUGUUACCAAGGGGAACAUCUAAAAGACUUUUUUGGAUAUAAGGAUAAUUGAAUUAUAAGUAUGAAAUUUCAUGUUCCUUUUUUUAAAUGUGGAGAAACUGCAGAACCUCAUGUCUUACUGCAAAUUCCCCAUCACAUGGCUAAUGACUUAGCGCCCUCUAAAAAUGCCCACUGCAAUCCCCCUUUGCACAUGGUGGUCUGUGAUGAAUAUACAAAACAAAGCAAACAGAACACAACUGGCAACUACAGAAGAGGAAAUAAAACACCUAAUGAGAAAUAGGGAGUAAUGCUUUUUAUUAAGUGGCACAAAAGACACACAAAAACUAUGCAAAUAUAGGUAACUACCGUGUACGUACAUGUAAGUAUCUUGUACUGGCUGUGUAUGGAUGUUGGAAACCCAUGUAAUUAUAAUAUGCAUUUUGAAUAUUGGGAAAGAGGAAAUCUUAGUGUAGAUAAUAGAACUUGUUUUGAAAUAUACACUGGCAAUAUUGAAAUACACUCAGUGCAAUAUCUGCAAUUCUAUUGCUGGAUACUUCAUGCAAAGGGAUUUUAAAGAACUCUUCAACAAGAUCUAAGAGGUUGCUAAUCUUCACCUCCCACGUAUUAAACCAUUAGUUAAAAAUACAACUGACAUAACAACACAUUAAGCUUUUCUUGCUUAAUCAUUAACAUUACACAAUACAAUUAUCUGGCCUAGUUUUUAGUGUUACUGGAGAGAAAGACAUAACCUGAGUUUUCAACUUCGAUUCAGAGCUAAUUGAAUUUGGAGUUCUUAUACUUUCUUUGAAGUGUAUGUAUGUUUUAAUGGGUUGUGGAACUUUUAUUACAAGGACAAAUCUACUCAAAAAACAUAUGUUACCUUUAAUAGUUAGAGUCACUAUAGUUUAAUGGAAAUUUCUUAUGAUAAUUUUAUUCUUCAAUUCAUUUUUCUCUUUCUCUCUCUAUUUCAAUCCAAACAUGCCCUUUGCACUUCACUUAUACCCUUCCAAAGGCAAUGGAUUGAAGGUAGCAAGAUUAUAAAGAGAGCUAAAGGGGACAACAUGUAAAAAUGGGUUCUAAACUCAUCAGCAUUUUUAUGUAUUGAGAUUAUUAAUAUUGAAUGCAAUAUUAUUGGAUAGAGCUGGUAAGUUCUCUGCCAUGCAUACUUACAAUAAUCCUUCUACCUCUCACUUUUAACAUGGGCUAUGAUACUUCGAUAUAAAUAGAAGAAAUAAUUAUUUACAAGAUAUCCCAGGAAGCACUCUUUUGGGACUAUCCUAACAGUCCACUCCCCACCCCCUGGGACAUCUCAAAAGCCAACUUUACUUUUAGUGUAACUCAGUGGUGUAUGGAUCUGCAUUUGUUUUCCUUUUUCUGUCAUUAACUUUUCCUAUAGGCAAACUAUAAUAACUUUAAAAGGAUAGUUCCUCUCAUUCCUAUUUACUAUUUCAAUGUGAUAUAAUUGUGCUGAUUAAAAAAAUUAAAUGGCAACACUUUGCAAUCCAACUUGACAUUUCAUUUACUGUUUAGAAUGAAACAAUUUCUUAUAAAUUAAUACUAUGCUUUUAAGUAAAAAUCAUAUAUGUAUUUUUAUUUUCCCAAGAAGUGUUAUUCUGUAAGAUAAAUAUUUAAGUAUUUAAAUCUGCCUCAUUAUUAACAAAUAAUCCCAGAAUGAGUGCAAAGUAUUGCCACAAAUACCCACUUUAUUUUGCCUGCAUAGAAACAGUAUGAAUUCUUCAAAUCAUAUAAUUUAAUGAUUCUAAAAGGAAAUGGCUUUUAAAAGCAGAUUUUUCUUUAGGAAAAAAAUGAUACAAAAAUUAUCUCAAAGUAUGAUGCUUAAAGUAAGAUUUUUCUAUGUUAUGUGGUUAUGUUAUAGAUAAUAUUUGCUGUAUUUUCUACCAUCAUAUAUAUAUAUAUGUAUGUACAUAUAUAUGUACAUACAUAUAUAUAUAUAUAUAUUUCACAAGAAAUGUAUGGUUAUUUUGGAGAGAAUGGGCCCAAAUGUGAAAACGAUGUAAAGCAAAACCACUAUUUUCCCCUAUGAAUAUACUGUAUAUUUCAAAAGAAGAAACUUAAAAGAUAUUUGAAGAUUGCAGGGGCAAAAGAAAAACCUACCAGGGCUCAGCACUUAAGCACUUUUCCCACAUCCAGGGUCGGAACAGCAGUGAUUCCUUCAUGAACUUUUAAGUGCGGUAUGAAAUGCCACAUUACACUUCUCUUACACACAGUACUGUCAAACCUCAAAUGUUUUCUUUCUUCAGAUACUUUUCCUUGUACAUGAAACUAGUAGACACUUUCUCUUUAUAUUUGCUGAUGGUGAAAGUUAUAUGCAAUAAAAUAUUUGAUGGUUGAAAGUAGUAUUCACCAGUUGGUUAAAAAAACUAUGAAAUGUAAACUGAAUUGUUAUCUCUUUAUCCUUUUUGCUUUUCUCUGUGUUUCUAAUGUAUGGAAUGAGUCUCAUAAAUAGAAAAAUAAGUUAGAAAAUUUUCAAAACUAGUUCUCUUUCUCCUAACAAGUGUAUAAAACUAAUCUCUUGAUGAAUUUAUUUAACUGUACCUACUGUACUUGUUGUAGAUUCAAUGAUGGAGUUAAGUAGUAACCCAAGGGUUUAUGAGUUCGCAAUUACUGACAUGUUUAUUUUCAUAUUCUGUUCACAUCAAUAUUUGUGAAUUGUUUGUUUAGCUUUUCAUUCAACCAAAAAAAUAUUCCCUCAACAAAGCUCCAUUUUUAUCAUAAAUAUUUCAACAUAACUAACAUCAGACAAGUCUGCCAUGUUAAAAAGAAUUUAAAGACUUAUCUCUGAAAAUGGUACCCAGAAACGCGGGUGUUCCCAGUAACGUAGCUUCAAAAAUAAAAUGUUCUAUUUAUGUGACAUGAAAUUCAUAGCUUUUGGAAGGGUAUAUUUAUGACAGCAUAAAAAUAAAUUCUGUGCUGUAAAGAAGAUGCACUGAAAUAAAACAUAUUGCACAGAAGAUAGAGAAACACAAUUAUUGAAUCUACUGUUAUCAUUAACAUUUUCAAAAACCAAAAUGCAUAUUGUAAUAUUAGGUACAUGACACUUGCAUGUUGAUAUGCCUAUAUACUUACAAGUAUUUAAAGUGUACUCAGUGGCGCUUAAAACAUGUCAUGUACUACUUUUAUAAACAUUCUUACAGGGUUCCCAUUUGCACCUCAUCUUUCAGUAAAGUCUUGUCAGAAAAAAACUGUCUAAUACAUAUGGAAAAAUAAAAUUUGAAUUUUAGUUAUCUGUUGGACAUUACUGAAUUGUCUAUUCAUUUAGUUCAUUUUCUUAGGCUUGUUAACAGAAAGGUGGAAAUUUCUUUUCUCCCACUGACAGAUUAUAAAAUAUACCACAAAACAUAUUCCUUUUUGCCAAGACAUUAUUUUGCAUACCUUUUUUCAACUGCAUACGUUAUCCAUUCAUUUUAUACUUCUUCAGUGAUGCCCAUUUUGUUUGUAAGUUUCUAAGUGGAAGUUUUAAAAAGUUAAGCAGUAGUCAAAUAAAUGUUAUAUUAUUUGUACAACAUAUAAUUGUUACUCUUUGGAAUGUGUGAACCUUGUAACAUGCUGACUAAGGGUUAAAAAAAUGUUGCCGACUUAAGGAAAUUUGCUUGAGAUUGCCAAAAUUCCAAUAUUCUGUAAAGAUAAUUUUACAAUCACUUCCAUGUGUUUACUAAUGUUGACUAGGAACAGAAGCAAAAAUACUUACACCCUUUUAAUUUUCACACUCUAACCAGUAUUAUAUAUUUCAACUACCUAAGAUAAUGCAAUUAAUAGCAUAUUCAUCCUAAACUUAUGCCAAUAAGAAUUUGAGAUAAGCUUUUAAAUUUAUGGAAGAUUUUCUUUGUGUCUUUGGAAGUUCACUUACCAUAAGGUAUUUUAUAAUCUACUUUAAAUAACAGAUUUUGUUAUACAGGGUAAGCCAAAGGCUGUACAAGAAUUAGUGUCUGGGUCUGAUAUUUGUGUUAGACCAUGAAAUAUUCCAUUAAAAUUUAUCUGUAAAUACAA